GGAAGUGGUGGCUCAGUGGUAAAAGCUUUGGGCUGGUGAUUGGAUGGUUGUGAGCUCAAAUCCCACCAUGGCCA